ACGGAAAUAUUUGUACAGUUACAGCUUAGAGGUGGUUCUCAGGACAACAGGUAGCUAUGCUGUGGUCUUGAAAACCACCUCUACUAUAGCAUAGCAUGUCCACAACAUUCGCAUACAAUUAUGAAUAGACAACAGACUACCGGAAUCAGUUAGGUUGGUAAGAUUACGAGUGAUAGGAUUAUCUUCAGAGGGAUGAGACUGGAAAAAAAGGCAAAAGAAGAAGAUCUAAAGGAAUAUUCGAAAAAACCAUCCAUAUUCAAGAAAAUGUGUUGAAGAAAUACCUACAGACACUUGUAGUCAUCACUGCUUAGUUACCUACAGUUGCUUUUGGGAAUAAUUGUUUCGAAUUCAUGAGAAACUGAGAAUUUGUAAGCUGAAAUGAAGCGAUCAGAUUAUGCAAAGACCAUCCGGCGAAAUGGGACGCAAAAAAUAGGAAAUCUAGAGAACACAUUGAAGAUACAAAAUAUGUAUUCUGAUAUUCAUCAGUGAACAGUUGAUGGCGUCUUGGUCGUAGUACCGUACACAGCGAUGACCGGACCGAAAAGUCAGUAUCGAAUGAAAACACCAAAAACCUAAAGAAGCAGAUUUCCAUUGUAAACCAAGCAAUCAUUACAGAAAAUGGUUAAAAUAUGUAUUUAAAAAAAAAGAUUCAAAAACACUUUGAUGAAUGUGAAACUAUACGAAUAAUUUGCAAUCGCGUUAUACUUAUAGAUAUCAAAUGUGCUAACAUCAAACCGAAUUAUCUAAUCCUAGAUGGUAAUUUUAAAAAUCUACAGGGCAUGAGCAUUGAAACAUUUUUCAACGAACCGGGAUCGUUUUGAAAAAUGAGCCGAAAAUUUACAGACAUUCUUCUCGAAAUUUGUCUAUACGAUGAGCCAACUGAAACCACAUUAUAUUGUAUCAGAAAAAAUUUGGUAGGCGUUUAAUCUUGGGAUUAGAUAAUUUUUCUCAAAAAGAAACAAAUCGAAAAGCAAAGCCAACUUUGAAAAAUCGUUUCAGAAUUUCUACAAUCUUUUUAUCAACAUUUUAUUCAAUUUGUAAUCUCUAAGCAUUUAAUUAUUACUAAACGAAAGAAACAGAUAAGUAAAGACAACAUCUCAUAUGACCUGAAAAAUGACACCUACAGUACAGAUAAUCCGAUAGUAGACCUUAUGAACGAAUGCUAUUAAAUUCGCGAGUUUGUUGAAUGAGUUGCCAAGUAUUACCAAAAAACACAUACUACUUACGUAAUUAUUUUUAUUAUUUAAAAGUACCUAUAAAAACUUUUGUCAAUAAAGUGGUUUAAUUUUUGA